UACUUCAGGUAGUACUACUACCAACGUUCUAAUACUGCAUCAGUACUCCAGGUAGUACUGCUACCAACGUUCUAAUACUGCAUCAGUACUCCAGGUAGUACUGCUACCAACGUUCUAAUACUGCAUCAGUACUCCAGGUAGUACUGCUACCAACGUUCUAAUACUGCAUCAGUACUCCAGGUAGUACUACUACCAACGUUCUAAUACUACAUCAGUACUCCAGGUAGUACUACUACCAACCUUCUAAUACUACAUCAGUACUCCAGGUAGUACUACUACCAACCUUCUAAUACUACAUCAGUACUCCAGGUAGUACUACUACCAACCUUCUAAUACUACAUCAGUACUCCAGGUAGUACUACUACCAACCUUCUAAUACUACAUCAGUACUCCAGGUAGUACUACUACCAACCUUCUAAUACUACAUCAGUACUCCAGGUAGUACUACUACCAACGUUCUAAUACUACAUCAGUACUCCAGGUAGUACUACUACCAACCUUCUAAUACUACAUCAGUACUCCAGGUAGUACUACUACCAACCUUCUAAUACUACAUCAGUACUCCAGGUAGUACUACUACCAACGUUCUAAUACUACAUCAGUACUCCAGGUAGUACUACUACCAACCUUCUAAUACUACAUCAGUACUCCAGGUAGUACUACUACCAACGUUCUAAUACUACAUCAGUACUCCAGGUAGUACUACUAUCAACCUUCUAAUACUACAUCAGUACUCCAGGUAGUACUACUACCAACCUUCUAAUACUACCCGAGCCACCAAACCACGAGGACGACCACGGAUCGGCCCGGAAGGGGGCAGAGAGAGAACCUGGC